rnacentral:tRNA from 1 species
UGCGGAAUGGAGAAGUGGUCUAUCUCGCUGGGGCACAUAUGCUCAGAGGCCAGAGGUUCGAAUCCUCUUUCCGCAA